GAUUUAUCGCCUUCGAAAUAGAAACGAGCACAACGUUAUACGUAAGGUUGAAAGUGACUAGGAUAGUUGGUUUCAAAAACCUUGUCAAAAAUUCUUAGGGCGGUUGCGUUUCUUUUUUGGUCACAUUCUUUCCACAGACAACAAUUUUUGAAGAAAGGGAAAGGACCUUAUAAGCCCCGCCAGACGUCUCGGUAUGCUUGUAAACAUGCAGUCGUUUGCUGUCUUGGUUAUUGGCAUCAUCUGGUGUUCGUGGUCAUCAGGGUUGACUCACGAUCCUAGCGACCUUGCACGCCACGCACCCACCGUUACACCAGGGCCGUGCCAAGAGCCAUUUGUGGACGUGUGUGAUACGUGUCCACUACACACGGUAUGCCUGGCUAAUUGCCUAGCUACCGGAUUUCAUGGUAUACGUCCUUGUCUCCAAAGAAGAGGCUGUCUGUGUGAUAACAGCACAGGGUUCAUCCUUGACAGGGGAACUGAUUGUAUCACGUACGAGGCGUGCAUUAAAAUAUUUCUCGACCGCAUAGGACGGUGACCAGCAGCACACGAUGGUCGCACGUUCUCAAGUACAUGGACACUGGAGCAUUAGUGAAAUAAAAGUUUCGAAUGAG